rnacentral:rRNA from 1 species
GACCCGUCUUGAAACACGGACCAAGGAGUUUAACAAACGUGCGAGUCUGUGAGUUUAUAAACUCAUCGGCGUAAUAAACGUAAAGACAGACGAUGGUUUGUCGAGAUACGAUCCCGUGACUCUCGAGUUGCGGGCGGAGUAUCGUCCCAUCUGAGUGGUUCGACCGCUAGGUGGAGAUUGAGCACGUUUGCUGAGACCCGAAAGAUGGUGAACUAUGCUUGAGCAGAACGAAGCCAGAGGAAACUCUGGUGGAGGUUCGUAGCGGUUCUGACGUGCAAAUCGAUCGUCAGACUUGAGUAUAGGGGCGAAAGACUAAUCGAACCAUCUAGUAGCUGGUUCCUUCC